rnacentral:misc_RNA from 1 species
GCACCUGUAAAGGAUCCGUUGUGGCGAUAGACUAGCGUCAAGCCCCCCACCUAGUCACGUGUCCCAAAGCUUGGGGCACAUGUCGGUGAGACGGAUCCGCCGGUGGGUGAUCGUGUUCCAAAUUUUUGGGGCACACGAUGGUAUGCUCGAGACGAAUUCGAUGGUGGGUGAUCGGUUACCUAGUGAGAAUAAAUUGAAUGGAUUGUGGCCUAUGAAAGAUCAGUUGCAUAUUGUGAUUUGUUGUCUAGCGUCCCUACGUGUCCCGAUGCUUGUCUAUAACAGUGCUAGGCUUCAAGACGGUCGGUUAGUGAUUGGUUACCUAGUGAUAAUAUACUGAAUGGAUUGUUGAGGGUUGGAAACAAGGAUGUACAAACACCAAUCGGCCUUUGUCCCGAUUGCUGAGUGUUAUGUGCUUGAUGUUGAAGAUUCUUGGCUUCUUUGAUGUAUGUUACAUAGAUAAUCAGUUGCUUUGCAGCGUAAUAGAGCGUCCCUAUGGUUACAUCACAUGUCCCGAUGCUUGUCUAUAACAGUGCUAGGCUUCAAGACGGUUGGUUAGUGAUUGGUUACCUAGUGAUAAUAUACUGAAUGGAUUGUUGAGGGUUGGAAACAAGGAUGUACGAACACCAAUCGGCCUUUGUCCCGAUUGCUGAGUGUUAUGUGCUUGAUGUUGAAGAUUCUUGGCAUCUUUGAUGUAUGUUACAUAGAUAAUCAGUUGCUUUGUAGCAUAAUAGAGCUAAUCAGUUGGCUUGCAACAUAGCAAUUUUGUCUUAGAUUUCAUUGAGGCAUGGUGAUCAUAGGGACGGAAGGUGGCUUUCGAGAAUUUUCGCAUCGUUCGGUUCAUUUUGGGGGCUAUUUUGGCUUUUAGUUGCCUACAUGGUGAUUGUACUAUGUUGGUGGCUAAUUGUCGGAUGGUCUCUGAGUAUGUAGGCCGUAAAGGUGCAUGAGUGGUGUUUGGUUUGUAUGGGUGGUUGGCUCUUUGCUUGUGCAACAACUUCCACCUGUCUUACCUUUUCAGAAUAUGUUUGGGCUUGGUUAGUCUAAGCAGUUAUUGGGUUUUCUGUGCUCACUACCUAUGUUAUGGCAUUCUCCUGAUUGAUUGGUGUUACUUUUUGACGUGUGUCAUUGUCAUGAUACAUGAGAACUUUGAAGUAGUCCUUUGUACCACAAUCUUAAUGCAUGCGUUAAUCUUGUGGCUCAGUGGGUGUUGCUUGGUAUCUUGAAUAUAGAAUUUGAUGUGGGCAAAAGCGGUUUCUUGUAUCCUUGAUUUGUCCUUAUUCAGUGUUCAGCCUUUAAGAAAAUGACUGUUUAUCCCGUCUUGUGCUUGUGCUAAUAGCGGGGGAGAUGUGUCAAAGAAGAAUGCUACCUGGUUGAUCCUGCCAGUAGUCAUAUGCUUGUCUCAAAGAUUAAGCCAUGCAUGUGUAAGUAUGAACAAAUUCAGACUGUGAAACUGCGAAUGGCUCAUUAAAUCAGUUAUAGUUUGUUUGAUGGUAUCUUGCUACUCGGAUAA